UGGGGUGUAAAGUUCUUUCUUUCAAAACAUUUUCGUUGUUUGUAAAAAAAAAAAAAUAGGUUUAGACCUAUAAAAUUUAUGUUUACUUGGUUUUGAUAAAACUUUCUAUGGGUUUUUUUUUAUAAGUUUUUUAGCAAGAUCCUCCGCAAUCUUUUGAAGUAUUUGUUGUGGGUAUUUCAAAUUAUUUGCAAAAAGAUCCUAGUUCUUGUCUAGUUCUUUUCGUUUUCCAUUUUAAAUGUUUUUGUAAUUUUAAGUCUUGGAAGAUUUUUAAUCCUUCCUUUUGCGUGAAACUAACCAAUUCUUCAUAAGUUAAUUUAUUAUAUGGGAUUUGGUUUAUUCCAAAAAAUUAUUUGAUUUUAUUUCUAACAUUUUCUCCUAAAAGGGUUGGGAGUCCUGCAAGGAAUUUUUCCUUCCAAAAAGGUUGGUUUGAGUCUUCCCUAAGCAUAACUUUGGUUAGAAAAGUGUUUUUGUAAUGUUGGAACUCAGAAAGUUUUUUACAUAUGAGGUUUGAAAGGAGUUCUGCAUUUUUAUCUUUUAAGUGAGAUGGAUCACCUAUGAAUUGUAGACUAAUUGUGUGAAUUAGUGUUGCAACUGCAUCAGGUAUUGGGUUUCCUAACAUAUCGAGGAUGACAAUUCCUUCCUAUGUGGUUUGAAUUGCAUUUAAGAUUUCUAAUUGUUGUUGGGGAUUAAGAUGAUAAUCCCAUCAUCCUUUAAGUUGUCUUGAAAAUCCUACAAUUAGGAGUUCAACAAUGGCUUUAUCAGGUGUAUCAGAUUGGGUUUUGUAGGCAUUUGAUGCCAUCGUCAUUUGUUGAAGGAGACUAAGGAUAUUGUAUUCUGACAUACCAUUUAUGCUCCAUUCAUAGACAGUACUGGCGUUGAACUUGGACUGAGAAAGAACAUUUGGUUUGUUUUCAAUACAUUUGGUUUGUUUGCACAUAUUUUGUGGUUUUUGUUCGCCUUCAGAAACUUGGCCUAAAGUCAUAAUUGUUUUUUCUAAGGUAUCCUUAGCUACUAAUGGUGUAAAGGUAGAAGAAUGUUCUAUCCUACUAAGUUGGUCGUGCAAGACUUGGGUAAAUUCUGAUUUUCCUUCUCUAAACAGUUUUUGGCUUGUUUUUGAGAUUUCAAAUGGUUUAAAAAUUGAGUUUUUUAGUUUUGAUUUUGUUGUCUCGGUAGGGGAAACAACGAUAAUCUGUUGAUGUUCCUUUAUCUUAGUUAAUUGUUUUGCAAUUGUACUAAGAUGGACAUUUGUAAAAUUAUUUUGUUGAAGGAUAUUCGUAAUAUCUUUGUUUGGAUUAUCACUUGG
rnacentral:lncRNA from 1 species